rnacentral:rRNA from 1 species
ACGAACGCUGGCGGCAUGCCUCACACAUGCCAGUCGCACGAGACCUUCGGGUCUAGUGGCGCCCGGGUGCGUAACGCGUGGGAACCUGCCCUUAGGUUCGGAAUAACUCCCCGAAAGGGGUGCUAAUACCGGAUAAUGUCUUCGGACCAAAGAUUUAUCGCCUUUGGAUGGGCCCGCGUUGGAUUAGCUAGUUGGUAGGGUAAAAGCCUACCAAGGCGACGAUCCAUAGCUGGUCUGAGAGGAUGAUCAGCCACACUGGGACUGAGACACGGCCCAGACUCCUACGGGAGGCAGCAGUGGGGAAUAUUGGACAAUGGGCGAAAGCCUGAUCCAGCAAUGCCGCGUGAGUGAUGAAGGCCUUAGGGUUGUAAAGCUCUUUUACCCGGGAUGAUAAUGACAGUACCGGGAGAAUAAGCUCCGGCUAACUCCGUG